ensembl:snoRNA SNORD11B small nucleolar RNA, C/D box 11B
UGACAGUGGUGAUGAUGACGACUUUUGUCUUUUUCCUGAAACAAAUCGUGUGGGUUUUUCAGUCACUACCUCAUCUGAACAGUCG